CCUACGGGGGGCUGCAGUAAGGAAUAUUGCGCAAUGGGCGAAAGCCUGACGCAGCGACGCCGCGUGGGGGAUGAAGGUCUUCGGAUUGUAAACCCCUUUCGGGAGGGAAGAUGGAACGAGCAAUCGUUCGGACGGUACCUCCAGAAGCAGCCACGGCCAACUUCGUGCCAGCAGCCGCGGUAAUACGAAGGUGGCAAGCGUUGUUCGGAUUCACUGGGCGGACGGGGUGUCGAGGCGGUAAGGUUACUGUUAAAGCCUCGGGCCCAACCCGGAAAGCGCAGAGGGUACUGCCAGGCUAGAGGGUGGGAGAGGAGCGCGGAAUUCCCGGUGUAGCGGUGAAAUGCGUAGAGAUCGGGAGGAAGGCCGGUGGCGAAGGCGGCGCUCUGGAACACACCUGACGCUGAGACACGAAAGCGUGGGGAGCAAACAGGAUUAGAUACCCCAGUAGUC
rnacentral:rRNA from 1 species